rnacentral:lncRNA from 1 species
UGAAAAUUUUCUGUAUUUCCUUGUCUUCAAUGUAUAGAAUCCUACCACUAUUUAUGCAUGUAUAUACUAAAAAGGAAAUGUAAUAACAGAAUAAAUGUAAUUACUGUAAUUGCUCUAAUCCUGGCUGAUUUUAUUCUCUACCAUAUAUACAAUCAAUCUUUGUACAAAUGUAGAUCUUGUGAGCUGUCCAUUAUAUUCAGUUUUAAGGAGUCCAUUCUCCUCUUUCUUAUCUCUUCUUGAAGAUAAAGGUAAUCAAACUGCUAAGAAUUGAACUUCUUGUUUCUUUGCAUACAAGGUGUUGCGCUUUGUUGAUUGAGAAGUAGUUGAAAGAAAUGUUUGAUUUUGAAUCUGUUAGCUAAAUACUGAUCAAGAUCGGAUUCCAUUAAUGGAGGAAGUAUUACAAGUGUAGGAAAUUAGCAUGGAAGUAUUACAAGUGUAGGAAAUUAGCAUACAUUUGAUGAACCUUGCAGUAGUCAUCUUAUAAAUUUGGCUAUUU